GUGAAUCAUCAAAUUUUUGAACGCAAAUUGCACUCUCCGGUUUUCCGGGGGAGUAUGCCUGUUUGAGGGCCAUAAUAAAAAAAUCGACAUUGUUGCUGUUUUAUGGUGACUUUCGUGGGAGAUGGGUUAUCUUAAAUCUCGGUUUAAGCGACUUAAAAAUUUUUUUUACGAUUCUAAGCAUGUUUCUAAGAUUUUUCUUUUAUGUUUAAGGUAUUGAAUGCCUUAUUAGACGUGGU
rnacentral:misc_RNA from 1 species